AAGACUAGACUUUCAGGGAUCAUUUCUGUAGUUUGUUACUAGAGUUAUAAUCGUGGAUGGGAUUGCAAAUUUCUGGGCAGUCUCGAUGUUAUUUGAAAU
rnacentral:snoRNA from 1 species